rnacentral:rRNA from 1 species
UACGAAGGGGGCUAGCGUUGCUCGGAAUCACUGGGCGUAAAGGGUGCGUAGGCGGGUCUUUAAGUCAGGGGUGAAAUCCUGGAGCUCAACUCCAGAACUGCCUUUGAUACUGAGGAUCUUGAGUUCGGGAGAGGUGAGUGGAACUGCGAGUGUAGAGGUGAAAUUCGUAGAUAUUCGCAAGAACACCAGUGGCGAAGGCGGCUCACUGGCCCGAUACUGACACUGAGGCACGAAAGCGUGGGGAGCAAACAGG